AGUGAACGCUGGCGGUAGGCCUAACACAUGCAAGUCGAACGGCAGCACAGUAAGAGCUUGCUCUUACGGGUGGCGAGUGGCGGACGGGUGAGGAAUACAUCGGAAUCUACUUUUUCGUGGGGGAUAACGUAGGGAAACUUACGCUAAUACCGCAUACGACCUACGGGUGAAAGCAGGGGAUCUUCGGACCUUGCGCGAUUGAAUGAGCCGAUGUCGGAUUAGCUAGUUGGCGGGGUAAAGGCCCACCAAGGCGACGAUCCGUAGCUGGUCUGAGAGGAUGGUCAGCCAAACUGGAACUGAGACCCGGGCCAAACUCCUAAGGGGGGGAGCAGUGGGGAAUAUUGGACAAUGGGCGCAAGCCUGAUCCAGCCAUACCGCGUGGGUGAAGAAGGCCUUCGGGUUGUAAAGCCCUUUUGUUUGGAAAGAAAAGCAGCAGGUUAAUACCCCGCUGUUCUGACGGUACCCAAAGAAUAAGCACCGGCUAACUUCGUG
rnacentral:rRNA from 1 species